UACGUAGGGUGCAAGCUUGUCCGGAAUUAUUGGGCGUAAAGAGCUCGUAGGCGGUCUGUCGCGUCUGCUGUGAAAACUCAGGGCUUAACCCUGAGCUUGCAGUGGGUACGGGCAGACUAGAGUGCGGUAGGGGAGACUGGAAUUCCUGGUGUAGCGGUGAAAUGCGCAGAUAUCAGGAGGAACACCGAUGGCGAAGGCAGGUCUCUGGGCCAUAACUGACGCUGGAGAAG
rnacentral:rRNA from 1 species